CAACGUUUCAGAGGUGCUGCCUCCAACAUCAGUGUGAUGAUCGCCCUGAUGAUGGAGGCAGAAGGCACUAAAAUGAAACAUAUCAACCGCUGAACAAGAAACGGACAGUGUGGGAUCCUGCAUUACUGUUUCAACAAAAGUUGGUACUACACGUGUCAACGCUACUAGCUACAAAUGUUUACCGUACAGAGCUGUAAGUUCUCCACCAGACAAUAAGACGCUUCAAUGACGCGGGUACUACCUGCAGUGGCUAGUUUUCCCAUAACCCGCCCAUCACAUGAGGGCGUCGUUCGGGCGGAGGCGCAUGUGACAUCGCAUUUGGCACUUCCCGCCCAGUUUCGUGGGAAGGGAAAUGGGCGAUGGCCCACUGCCACCACACAAUAACAGAUUCCAGUGCACUGAAACGGGACCCAUCUACGUGUCUUCUCUGUUCGUCAGUGUCGAUUACUGUGGAGAAACUUUUAAAGCUGUGUUCAGAAGGGAGUACCGAGUCUACGCGCAGAGAGCGCUGUGAUUACGCGAGGGGAGCGCG